GAGUUUGAUCAUGGCUCAGAUUGAACGCUGGCGGCAGGCCUAACACAUGCAAGUCGAGCGGUAGCACAGAGAGCUUGCUCUCGGGUGACGAGCGGCGGACGGGUGAGUAAUGUCUGGGAAACUGCCUGAUGGAGGGGGAUAACUACUGGAAACGGUAGCUAAUACCGCAUAACGUCGCAAGACCAAAGUGGGGGACCUUCGGGCCUCAUGCCAUCAGAUGUGCCCAGAUGGGAUUAGCUAGUAGGUGGGGUAACGGCUCACCUAGGCGACGAUCCCUAGCUGGUCUGAGAGGAUGACCAGCCACACUGGAACUGAGACACGGUCCAGACUCCUACGGGAGGCAGCAGUGGGGAAUAUUGCACAAUGGGCGCAAGCCUGAUGCAGCCAUGCCGCGUGUGUGAAGAAGGCCUUCGGGUUGUAAAGCACUUUCAGCGGGGAGGAAGGCGUUAAGGUUAAUAACCUUGGCGAUUGACGUUACCCGCAGAAGAAGCACCGGCUAACUCCGUGCCAGCAGCCGCGGUAAUACGGAGGGUGCAAGCGUUAAUCGGAAUUACUGGGCGUAAAGCGCACGCAGGCGGUCUGUCAAGUCGGAUGUGAAAUCCCCGGGCUCAACCUGGGAACUGCAUUCGAAACUGGCAGGCUAGAGUCUUGUAGAGGGGGGUAGAAUUCCAGGUGUAGCGGUGAAAUGCGUAGAGAUCUGGAGGAAUACCGGUGGCGAAGGCGGCCCCCUGGACAAAGACUGACGCUCAGGUGCGAAAGCGUGGGGAGCAAACAGGAUUAGAUACCCUGGUAGUCCACGCCGUAAACGAUGUCGAUUUGGAGGUUGUGCCCUUGAGGCGUGGCUUCCGGAGCUAACGCGUUAAAUCGACCGCCUGGGGAGUACGGCCGCAAGGUUAAAACUCAAAUGAAUUGACGGGGGCCCGCACAAGCGGUGGAGCAUGUGGUUUAAUUCGAUGCAACGCGAAGAACCUUACCUGGUCUUGACAUCCACAGAACUUUCCAGAGAUGGAUUGGUGCCUUCGGGAACUGUGAGACAGGUGCUGCAUGGCUGUCGUCAGCUCGUGUUGUGAAAUGUUGGGUUAAGUCCCGCAACGAGCGCAACCCUUAUCCUUUGUUGCCAGCGGUUCGGCCGGGAACUCAAAGGAGACUGCCAGUGAUAAACUGGAGGAAGGUGGGGAUGACGUCAAGUCAUCAUGGCCCUUACGACCAGGGCUACACACGUGCUACAAUGGCAUAUACAAAGAGAAGCGACCUCGCGAGAGCAAGCGGACCUCAUAAAGUAUGUCGUAGUCCGGAUUGGAGUCUGCAACUCGACUCCAUGAAGUCGGAAUCGCUAGUAAUCGUAGAUCAGAAUGCUACGGUGAAUACGUUCCCGGGCCUUGUACACACCGCCCGUCACACCAUGGGAGUGGGUUGCAAAAGAAGUAGGUAGCUUAACCUUCGGGAGGGCGCUUACCACUUUGUGAUUCAUGACUGGGGUGAAGUCGUAACAAGGUAACCGUAGGGGAACCUGCGGUUGGAUCACC
rnacentral:rRNA from 2 species